CCAUGUGACCUUACUAGCUUGUCCAAGCCUGAUCUCAUCAGAUCUCAGAAGUUAAGCAAGGCCAGGCCUAUUUAGUACUUGGAUGGGAGACCACAGGGGAUAUAAUGUGCCACAAUGG
rnacentral:rRNA from 1 species